AGAGUUUGAUUAUGGCUCAGAACGAACGCUUGCUGCAUGCUUUAUACAUGCAAGUCGAACGGAGGCCCUAGCUUGCUAGGUGUCCUUAGUGGCGCACGGGUGAGUAACACGUGGGAACAUACCUUAUAGUACGGAAUAACUGCGGGAAACUGUAGCUAAUACCGUAUAUUCCAGCAAUGGGAAAGAUUUAUCGCUAUAAGAUUGGCCCGCGCAAGAUUAGCUUGUUGGUGAGGUAAAAGCUCACCAAGGCUUCGAUCUUUAGCUGGUUUGAGAGGACGAUCAGCCACACUGGGACUGAGACACGGCCCAGACUCCUACGGGAGGCAGCAGUAGGGAAUAUUGGACAAUGGGGGCAACCCUGAUCCAGCAAUGCAGCGUGAGUGACGAAGGCCUUAGGGUUGUAAAACUCUUUCAUCGGUGAGGAUAAUGACAGUAGCCGAAGAAGAAGGACCGGCUAAUUCCGUGCCAGCAGCCGCGGUAAUACGGAAGGUCCUAGCGUUGUUCGGAAUUACUGGGCGUAAAGCGCAUGUAGGCGGAACAGAAAGUUAGAAGUGAAAUCCCUGGGCUCAACCUAGGAAUUGCUUUUAAAACUUCUGUUCUGGAAUUCAGGAGAGGAAAAUGGAAUUUCCAGUGUAGAGGUGAAAUUCGUAGAUAUUGGAAGGAACACCAGUGGCGAAGGCGAUUUUCUGGACUGAUAUUGACGCUGAGAUGCGAAGGCAUGGGUAGCAAACGGGAUUAGAUACCCCGGUAGUCCAUGCAGUAAACGAUGGGUGCUAGUCGUCGGACUUUUGUUCGGUGUCGUAGCUAACGCGUUAAGCACCCCGCCUGGGGAGUACGGUCGCAAGAUUAAAACUCAAAUAAAUUGACGGGGACCCGCACAAGCAGUGGAGCA
rnacentral:rRNA from 1 species